GACGGAGGGAUGCAAGUGUUAUCCGGAAUCACUGGGCGUAAAGCGUCUGUAGGUGGUUUAAUAAGUCAACUGUUAAAUCUUGAGGCUCAACCUCAAAAUCGCAGUCGAAACUAUUAGGCUAGAGUAUAGUAGGGGGUAAAGGGAAUUUCCAGUGGAGCGGUGGAAAUGACGUAGAGAUUGGAAAGAACACCGAUGGCGAAGGCACUUACUGGGCUAUUACUAACACUCAGAGACGGAAAGCUAGGGUAGCAAAUGGGG
rnacentral:rRNA from 1 species